UCCUUGAUAGCUCAGUUGGUAAAGAAUCUGCCUGCAAUGCAGGAGACCCUGGUUUGAUUCCUGGGUCGGGAA
rfam:TPA: Bos taurus chromosome 25, whole genome shotgun sequence.